rnacentral:tRNA from 1 species
GGUCGUUUAGCUCAGUCGGUAGAGCGUUGGUCUAAUAAGCCAUUGGUCGCAGGUUCGAUCCCUGCAACGACCA